UUGACCUCGGAUCAGGUAGGAAUACCCGCUGAACUUAAGCAUAUCAAUAAGGCGGA
rnacentral:rRNA from 1 species